rnacentral:rRNA from 1 species
AGAGUUUGAUCCUGGCUCAGAAUCAACGCUGGCGGCGUGCCUAACACAUGCAAGUCGCACGAGAAAGGGGAGCAAUCCCUGAGUACAGUGGCGCACGGGUGAGUAACACGUGACUAACCUACCCUCGAGUGGGGAAUAACCUGGGGAAACCCGGGCUAAUACCGCAUAACACUUACGAGUCAAAGCAGCAAUGCGCUUGGGGAGGGGGUCGCGGCCGAUUAGCUAGUUGGCGGGGUAAUGGCCCACCAAGGCUUUGAUCGGUAUCCGGCCUGAGAGGGCGCACGGACACACUGGAACUGAAACACGGUCCAGACUCCUACGGGAGGCAGCAGUGGGGAAUUUUGCGCAAUGGGGGAAACCCUGACGCAGCAACGCCGCGUGGAGGAUGAAGUCUCUUGGGACGUAAACUCCUUUCGAUCGGGACGAUAAUGACGGUACCGGAAGAAGAAGCUCCGGCCAACUACGUGCCAGCAGCCGCGGUAAUACGUAGGGAGCAAGCGUUGUCCGGAUUUAUUGGGCGUUAAAGAGCUCGUAGGCGGGCUUGGCAAGUUCGGAUGUGAAACCCCCAGGGCUUUAACCCUGGGGGCCGCC